CGCAGGCUCGCGGUCCCUCUUUCACUCCAGGCAGAGGAGGAAUUAACAGGUCUCUGCAGGAGCCUGCUGCGGAAAAUGCGGGGAAUUUCAGCCCUUUAUUUAUCACCUCACAAUGAAGUCAAACUGCCACCAGACAAGAUGAGGAGCUGCAAUCAGCCUGCAGAUGGAAACAAGGGUGGGUGGUUGGAAGGCUGGAUAAAGGCUGCUAGAUGACUGAACUCAGAGACCCGGUGCAGCUCAUCAUCAUUGCCAUGGGCUCUAGUCUUCUUCCUCUCCUCCUGUGGCUUGUACCUCCAUCCAGGGGUCCAGCAGAGCCAGUGAAGCCCAGGCGGGGAGCUAGUGAGUGGGCUGGGAAGGAUGGAGAAGGUCCCCAAAGGCUCAAAUCACCUCUGGAGCUACCGGCAUGCAGGAGAAAUCAAUAUGAAACAGAGAACCUUCACAGCUCUGAGUGGGGUUUCCUGUGUUUUAAGUGUGUGGCCUACGGGCCUGCAGACCUCCAAAAGACAGGUCCUGUGUGGUUCUCUCAGCUGCAGCCCUGGCUCCUUGGACUGGACCUCAGUCCCGAUCUCCACUGGCUGCGUGUGGUUCUGCUGAAGGGGAUUUCUCCCCAAAUAAUACCCAAUACCCAGAACGUUGAAAGACUGCCAAGAGGGAUGUUCUUUCUCUUGCCUUUUUUUUUUUCCAUCAUAAGAUUGGCAUAUCCCCCCCAACCUUCUACCUCAGGCUGAUUUGGAAAAAAAAAAAAAAAAGCAGUUCAGGAGCUCUACUUUUGACUCAUUCUCCAUCCUCAACUCGCCCGUUCUUUAUUCCCCAACUAGUUUUUACAUUUGACAAAGAGACAGUAUGAUCUUUAUUUUCUCCUCCACUCUCUUGGCUUGCUGUUACUAUGGUGAGCUGUAGACACGUGUCUCUUCAAACCACAAAUACUGGCACACAAAGUAUGAGCUUCAUUUCUUUUUUCUUUUUUUUUUUUUUUCUCCAUGAUGUCUAUUAUUCAAUUUCAGACUGUUUUAAAAAAAAAAAAACCUGACUGAACAGCAAAGAGGGCUGGAGAUCAUAGAGCAGAGAGACCUUGUAGUGGAGAUGGU